UGGGGAAUAUUGGACAAUGGGGGAAACCCUGAUCCAGCAAUGCCGCGUGAGUGAAGAAGGCCUUAGGGUUGUAAAACUCUUUCAUCAAUGAAGAUAAUGACAUUAAUUGAAGAAGAAGCUCCGGCUAACUCCGUGCCAGCAGCCGCGGUAAUACGGAGGGGGCUAGCGUUGUUCGGAAUUACUGGGCGUAAAGCGUAUGUAGGCGGAUCAAAAAGUUAGAUGUGAAAUCCCUGGGCUUAACCCAGGAACUGCAUUUAAAACUAGUGAUCUAGAAUUUGGUAGAGGUUAGUAGAAUUUCCAGUGUAGAGGUGAAAUUCGUAGAUAUUGGAAAGAAUACCAGUGGCGAAGGCGACUAACUGGGCCAUUUUUGACGCUGAGAUACGAAAGCGUGGGUAGCAAACAGG
rnacentral:rRNA from 1 species